UUGCUCAGAUCUCCUGCUGAUAAAUGCACCCAGUUACUCCUAACUGUCUUCCUUACAAAAUAACACCUCCCAGGACACCUACCUCUUCAAUAGUUUUUAACCACACUGCAGCUGCACAAGAAAAUCCAUUCAUCAUUUAUAAAUCAAUUGAGGAAGAGAAAUCUGCAGCUCGCUUGAUUGCCCUUGUUGUCCCUGCAACUCACUGAUCCAGCUCCAGAAACUUUCCAGCAUGCCAGAAAAUAACUCUGCAGCAGUAAUCCAUUAGCAGAGAGAUCUUCCCUCUGAUAGGAGAGAGGAAGAGACAAAGGGAGAAAAAGAGAGAAAAAGAGAUUUUUUAGUAUUCCACAAAAGGCAAUAAAAUAUUACAAACUUGUUAGUGUUUUGAAGCAGUUCACGCAACUCCCACCAAUUUCGCAGUCCUCUGUAUUUUGCAUUAGCCGCCCGUGGCUCGGUGUUUAAUGAGUCUGUAGGUGGAGAAGAAUUAACAAGUUACUAAACGGCCGGUUGCUCUGGUAAGACCUUUCUCUCUGCAUUAUAUCGUAUUUAUAACCCCGCUUUACAGUCAUCCCUCGCUCUGACACGCACACCCACACACCAGGUUCUGAUUCACACACACACACUGGUAUCUCUCCGCAGCUCUCCCACUCGGACUGGCCCCGCUGUUAGCGAGGGGAAACUUAGGCGCCCGGCUGAGCCAGGUUCGGGAUCGUUUAAACGUGCAAGGCUGAUCCUCUCCCGCUUCGAGGAGCGGAGCCCAGCACUGCAUGGCGCUGCGCCGCUCCCCCCCCGCGCAUCCUACGCGGGCUAGGCGGGGGGGCUUCGCGGGCUCCAGAUGGAAAGGCUCUUUUCGAAUAAUCGGAUCGUGAGAAGUUGCCCAAGCACCCAAAAAAAUGUCUGAAUGGAGAAGGCAACGAAUCGACUUGCAUGCCCGUUCCCCUUCAGCCGCGAGCUGGUGUGCAGCAGCUAUUUCCACGUCUGUCUGUCUGUCCGCUGCUGGCCUGGGCUGCGUGUUACCUCCGUCCCCAUCCCUUCCCCCAGUCUCCAGCCAAACAAAGGGAGCGAGGAAAAAAGCAGCCCAGGAAGUGCAAAGUGGAAAGCGACCCUCUUCCCAUUUGACGACAGCGCCAAUUCCUCCGGGAUCCCACCUGAGAUUAAAGCCUGAAUUUCAAUAAAUCAGCUCUAAUGAAACCUCUGGCCCCGAAGAGGGGAGGGUUUGUCCUUCCCGCUCCAAAACGAACACAAAAACGAGGGGAGGGGGUUGGGAGAGAGGGCGUAAAUAUAGAAAGGGGGUUGAAAUUUUAAUCCCAGCGGGCUGAUUAGCAUCGUUAUGAAAUAAGCCGUACACAAAGUGAUGUAUUUUAUCGUUCUUCCCUCUUUCUUGCUAUAUUCAAAUAAUCGCAUUGUUUGUGCCAACAAUCUAGCAAGACUACAUUUUCCUCCUGCUUUCAAUUUUGAUUAUUAAAUCUCAAAUGACGUUGAA